GUAGUCACAUUGACAGGAAUGGGACUCCAUGCUUUGCUAAGGGAGAUCGAUGCUGCUACAAUCAAUGCAGCAGUGAUCCAUUUAGUGGGUCUAGUGAGCACCUGCUAAAUCAACAGCAGAGCGCUCUCUGGUUGAUCCCAGUACUCCAGCUCUCCAAGAAGAAUAAGGGAAGUCGACUGGAGAGUGUCUCCCAUUGACAGAGUGCAGUGAAGACACCAGGAGAAGCCAAGGAUUGGCCAGGCAAGAAGAGUGAACUACCAUCUCACCUGUAGAAGAUCGGCCCUCCAGGUGGUCAACAGGAUAUUAACAUCUGCUACUGGAUUUGCUGGACAAAGGCAAACAGGACUUUGAUUGUUACCAAGCUAAGGCAACUCUUCAUUGCAAUUUCUCUGCUGGCAAAGAGAAGCAUGUUUAAAACAAAUUGUCCUUGACAUAGAGCUAUAGUCAACACAGGAAUUGCCAUUUAGAGGUGAU